CUUUUUUCACUUUGUCUGAAACUUUCGAACCCUAAUUACUAACUCUCACUUUGACUCCAGCACGCGCCUCCUUCUUCGCGUCGACCUUGUUCUCCAACCUGACCCGCCCCGGUCUCGUUCUCAGACCUGAGCUGCCUCGAGCUCGUUCUCCGACCGCCACCAGCGUAGGUCCUCUCUCUUUUCUCCCCACCAGCAAUACUGAUUUUCUGUCCGACGUUUCAUCGUCUUUUUGUUCUGAAGAGAGAUACGGAGAUGGGAGCGGAGAAAGCAGAGGCGUCGUUAGAUUCGCUGAUCGCUGGGUUCAACAGUCGGAUCUCAGAGCUCCAAGAGCUCGUUAUUGCGCGAAAAACCAGCAGUGUCACCGAUUUGUCGGCCGUCGACGCCGCCAUGAAGGACAUGGAGCUUCAGGUCCAGGCCAUCAAGGACCGGGUUCGUGACGAAACCCUAGCCAUCCCCAAAGCAAAAGUAGUUCCCUCUCUCUCUCUCUAGGUUUUGCUCUUCACUGCCACUACCAGCUUCUUAAGCAGCAGCUUCUCCGAUGUCGAGUUUCAUGCCGGCUGCCAAUCAGGUCCUUCGAGGUCGCUGAACCUCCAAACGACUCCAUUUCGAGCCUCAGCUUCAGCCCCAAAGCCAAUCACCUGUCGCCACCUCCUGGGACAACUAGGUUUGAUGCUGGGAGAUACAACACAGUGGACAAAAUCUUGGUAGUAUCCCAAGGGAAUGAUUUCACAUGACCAUCCGAAGAAAAUUGGAUAUAUGGAGUGUUGGGAGGUUGGUAGAGUGGAGACCUUGCAAGUGGUGGCUACAAGGACAUCUCACCAGUGGACGGGCUGAAUGGUCUGGUCUCUGAACUUGUUGUAGCAGUGUAAGAGAAAGCCAUGCUUGACGAAUGUGAAGCAUUGCUGGCUUCAGCAGCAGCUAUGCAGGUCCUGUUGCUGAGGAUAUGUUCCAUUAGCAAGCAACAAUUAUGGGUCCAGCCGACAACCCAUUUACUGGAGGUGUUUUCCUUGUAUCCAUUCACUUCCCACUCGAUUACCCUUUCAAGCCACUUGAGAAAGUUUUCUGUGCAGGGAAGUCAGGAAUUAGGUUGAACUGGAUGAGGAGACUUAAAGUAGCCCUUGGCGCAGCAAGAGGACAUCUUCAAAGAGCUAAUGUAAAACUCUUGGUUUACCAUAUUGCAAUAGUAAUUGCUAGGCUAGCCUUGUAGUAGGUUAAUUGGGGUUUUGUUUUGCCUAUUUUGUGAACUGUCAGGGAUAAUGAUUUUGAAUAGAAAUUUGAAUUUGAAGAAUACCCAAUAUUCAAAUUACUCUUGUUAAAUGUGGAUUGCAUUUUAUAGCAGCAACUAUAUAUUUUGUGGA